rnacentral:tRNA from 1 species
GCGGCCGUGAUGGAAUUGGCAUACAUGCUGGUUUUAGGUACCAGUGGGUUACACCCAUGUGGGUUCGAAUCCCACCGGCCGCA